rnacentral:rRNA from 1 species
ACUAAGCGUACACGGUGGAUGCCCUGGCAGUCAGAGGCGAUGAAGGACGUGCUAAUCUGCGAUAAGCGUCGGUAAGGUGAUAUGAACCGUUAUAACCGGCGAUUUCCGAAUGGGGAAACCCAGUGUGAUUCGUCACACUAUCAUUAACUGAAUCCAUAGGUUAAUGAGGCGAACCGGGGGAACUGAAACAUCUAAGUACCCCGAGGAAAAGAAAUCAACCGAGAUUCCCCCAGUAGCGGCGAGCGAACGGGGAGCAGCCCAGAGCCUGAAUCAGUGUGUGUGUUAGUGGAAGCGUCUGGAAAGGCGUGCGAUACAGGGUGACAGCCCCGUACACAAAAAUGCACAUAUUGUGAGCUCGAUGAGUAGGGCGGGACACGUGGUAUCCUGUCUGAAUAUGGGGGGACCAUCCUCCAAGGCUAAAUACUCCUGACUGACCGAUAGUGAACCAGUACCGUGAGGGAAAGGCGAAAAGAACCCCGGCGAGGGGAGUGAAAAAGAACCUGAAACCGUGUACGUACAAGCAGUGGGAGCACGCUUAGGCGUGUGACUGCGUACCUUUUGUAUAAUGGGUCAGCGACUUAUAUUCUGUAGCAAGGUUAACCGAAUAGGGGAGCCGAAGGGAAACCGAGUCUUAACUGGGCGUUAAGUUGCAGGGUAUAGACCCGAAACCCGGUGAUCUAGCCAUGGGCAGGUUGAAGGUUGGGUAACACUAACUGGAGGACCGAACCGACUAAUGUUGAAAAAUUAGCGGAUGACUUGUGGCUGGGGGUGAAAGGCCAAUCAAACCGGGAGAUAGCUGGUUCUCCCCGAAAGCUAUUUAGGUAGCGCCUCGUGAAUUCAUCUCCGGGGUAGAGCACUGUUUCGGCAAGGGGGUCAUCCCGACUUACCAACCCGAUGCAAACUGCGAAUACCGGAGAAUGUUAUCACGGGAGACACACGGCGGGUGCUAACGUCCGUCGUGAAGAGGGAAACAACCCAGACCGCCAGCUAAGGUCCCAAAGUCAUGGUUAAGUGGGAAACGAUGUGGGAAGGCCCAGACAGCCAGGAUGUUGGCUUAGAAGCAGCCAUCAUUUAAAGAAAGCGUAAUAGCUCACUGGUCGAGUCGGCCUGCGCGGAAGAUGUAACGGGGCUAAACCAUGCACCGAAGCUGCGGCAGCGACACUAUGUGUUGUUGGGUAGGGGAGCGUUCUGUAAGCCUGUGAAGGUGUACUGUGAGGUAUGCUGGAGGUAUCAGAAGUGCGAAUGCUGACAUAAGUAACGAUAAAGCGGGUGAAAAGCCCGCUCGCCGGAAGACCAAGGGUUCCUGUCCAACGUUAAUCGGGGCAGGGUGAGUCGACUCCUAAGGCGAGGCCGAAAGGCGUAGUCGAUGGGAAACAGGUUAAUAUUCCUGUACUUGGUGUUACUGCGAAGGGGGGACGGAGAAGGCUAUGUUGGCCGGGCGACGGUUGUCCCGGUUUAAGCGUGUAGGCUGGUUUUCCAGGCAAAUCCGGAAAACUAAGGCUGAGGCGUGAUGACGAGGCACUACGGUGCUGAAGCAACAAAUGCCCUGCUUCCAGGAAAAGCCUCUAAGCAUCAGGUAACAUCAAAUCGUACCCCAAACCGACACAGGUGGUCAGGUAGAGAAUACCAAGGCGCUUGAGAGAACUCGGGUGAAGGAACUAGGCAAAAUGGUGCCGUAACUUCGGGAGAAGGCACGCUGAUAUGUAGGUGAAGUCCCUCGCGGAUGGAGCUGAAAUCAGUCGAAGAUACCAGCUGGCUGCAACUGUUUAUUAAAAACACAGCACUGUGCAAACACGAAAGUGGACGUAUACGGUGUGACGCCUGCCCGGUGCCGGAAGGUUAAUUGAUGGGGUCAGCGCAAGCGAAGCUCUUGAUCGAAGCCCCGGUAAACGGCGGCCGUAACUAUAACGGUCCUAAGGUAGCGAAAUUCCUUGUCGGGUAAGUUCCGACCUGCACGAAUGGCGUAAUGAUGGCCAGGCUGUCUCCACCCGAGACUCAGUGAAAUUGAACUCGCUGUGAAGAUGCAGUGUACCCGCGGCAAGACGGAAAGACCCCGUGAACCUUUACUAUAGCUUGACACUGAACAUUGAGCCUUGAUGUGUAGGAUAGGUGGGAGGCUUUGAAGUGUGGACGCCAGUCUGCAUGGAGCCGACCUUGAAAUACCACCCUUUAAUGUUUGAUGUUCUAACGUUGACCCGUAAUCCGGGUUGCGGACAGUGUCUGGUGGGUAGUUUGACUGGGGCGGUCUCCUCCUAAAGAGUAACGGAGGAGCACGAAGGUUGGCUAAUCCUGGUCGGACAUCAGGAGGUUAGUGCAAUGGCAUAAGCCAGCUUGACUGCGAGCGUGACGGCGCGAGCAGGUGCGAAAGCAGGUCAUAGUGAUCCGGUGGUUCUGAAUGGAAGGGCCAUCGCUCAACGGAUAAAAGGUACUCCGGGGAUAACAGGCUGAUACCGCCCAAGAGUUCAUAUCGACGGCGGUGUUUGGCACCUCGAUGUCGGCUCAUCACAUCCUGGGGCUGAAGUAGGUCCCAAGGGUAUGGCUGUUCGCCAUUUAAAGUGGUACGCGAGCUGGGUUUAGAACGUCGUGAGACAGUUCGGUCCCUAUCUGCCGUGGGCGCUGGAGAACUGAGGGGGGCUGCUCCUAGUACGAGAGGACCGGAGUGGACGCAUCACUGGUGUUCGGGUUGUCAUGCCAAUGGCACUGCCCGGUAGCUAAAUGCGGAAGAGAUAAGUGCUGAAAGCAUCUAAGCACGAAACUUGCCCCGAGAUGAGUUCUCCCUGACUCCUUGAGAGUCCUGAAGGAACGUUGAAGACGACGACGUUGAUAGGUCGGGUGUGUAAGCGCAGCGAUGCGUUGAGCUAACCGGUACUAAUGAACCGUGAGGCUUAACC